rnacentral:rRNA from 1 species
CAGACCUACGGGGCGCAGCAGUGAGGAAUCUUGGUCCAUUGGCGCGAGCCUGAACCAGCCAAGUAGCGUGAAGGAUGACUGCCCUACGGGUUGUAAACUUCUUUUAUAAAGGAAUAAAGUGAGGCACGUGUGCCUUUUUGUAUGUACUUUAUGAAUAAGGAUCGGCUAACUCCGUGCCAGCAGCCGCGGUAAUACGGAGGAUCCGAGCGUUAUCCGGAUUUAUUGGGUUUAAAGGGAGCGUAGAUGGGUUGUUAAGUCAGUUGUGAAUGUUUGCGGCU